AGAUGUAACCCCAUUCCCGUCAUCUCUCUCUCGCCUCCUUUCCCCCAUGGCAUCCAGCGCCGCCGGCUGCCGGUCGCCCCUUCUUCUCCACCAGCCACCGCCACGCCACCUCUCGAAUCUCUUCCUCUGCCUCCACCGCUCCUCUUCCACCACCACCAUCUCUCUCUUCCUUCCCCUAAUCUAGCUGGAGCCUCCACCUACCUUGUGCCAUGGACAAUAGCGCAGGCGGGUACUGCUCCAGGCGGUGCAGGCGGGGUUCGCUCUGGCGCACGCAGGGGUCCAUGCCGAUGACAACACAUUUCCUCCCAGCCUGUGUCAGUGACGGUUUGCAACCUCGACGGCGCACACCCUACCAGCGACGGCGAGUGGGCCCCCAUGCACCGGUGGCGGUGAGCACCCUCCCCAUCCUCAACCCCAUCCCUGCAGAACCUUCUUCUCAUGCAGGGUCUGGAGACCACCGACGCAGAGUACUUUCUUCGAGCCAGACGAUGUCUUCAGUGCCCAUGCCUAGCAGGUGUUCGAGGCAAUGCCGGCAAGACCACCUGACUUGGCCUCGCAAUUUUUUCUAAGAUUUAAAUUUGUUUGAUCUGCAAUCUCUAGGCUAGCUUAUAUUCAGACUUGUUUUUUGUUCCAAAUUGGUCACCAAGUCUAUGCCUUUGUGUUAAAUACUGUUUGAAACAUAAUUUCUAAUUUUGUGUAGUCAGAAGCAGAGCUGCAUGGAGUGCUUAAUUUAUGUACUGCUGUAUGUGACUUGUACAUUUUGUUAUAUAUGACCUAUACUAUAUUGAUGGUGUCGUGCUUGGCCUCUAGUGAAUUAGGAGUAAAUUGUGAUGGAUUGUUACAAAAUUGGAUACUUCUUGUCAGUAUGAUGUAGUGUAUUACUAUGUUACCUUCUUGGAGUAGCUCACUGCCAAGAUACUGCAUGGCUUAGUAAUUUCAAGGAAUUCACUAGUUGAUUUCAGUAUAUGCUGCGUAAUUAAGAUUUAUUAAUAAUCUGCAGAUAUCCUGAAAAGCAGUUGAAUUUUGCUUGAGUCUGUUUAUUUUGCCUUAAUCAGAUUAGUAAUCAUGUAGAUCAGUAUAUGAUCCCUUCUUAGCAAAGGAAAGUGUUUAAUCAAGCUAUGUAAAUUAAGGUAGCAACAAUCAGUAAAAGACCCUAUAAGUAAUGCCUAGUGCUACUAAAUUGAAUGCAAGUGACCACUGGUCCAAUAUUUUUUUCUUUUCUGAGGAACUAGAAUUGUCCUCUCUGCAAUCAAAGUAUAUAUAAGUGGCACUUCAACUUGUAUUUAAUUUGCAUUAUUUUACUGGCACUUUGAAAGAGUUGCAUAACCUUUUCUGUAUAUUUAUAUGCAAUUUCUAGUGAGGCAGCGAAGUGAGAAGUGACACCUGACAGAUGCUAAUCAGUGGUAUUACAUUUGCACUGAAAAGAUAGAUAGAUAGAUAGAGAGAGAGAGAGAGAGAAUGAUGUUUCUUCAAAGUCUUGUUCCAGGAAGCAGUAAGGUUUCAGCAGCUCAGAGGAGCAGCAUUGGAGGUCCUUUCUUUAUCAAUUCCCAUCGGCAUCUUUCAGCUUCAGCUCGGACAAGUACUAUUGUUGUCCAGCUGCUUAGAAAGAACAGUGAAAGAUUGACAACAACUGACCGGAAAGGCAUUGUGCUGCAAAUAUCAAAGCAUUAUGUUCCAUAGUGGCAUCAAUAAGGUGAAUGCCUCUCUAUAAUGCAAUAAGUAUUGUGCGUCAAGAACCAUAGAGCAGUUAGCUCUUGUACUAUUAGAAAUCUAGGCUACUGCUCAUGUAUUUUUAGGUUGUGGCUCAUUCGACAAAUACUUUGUAGCCUAAGUUGUAUCAAAGUUUGUAAAUAAAUUUAUUGCUGAAAUGGAUGAAACAUGUGUAAUGUGUGAAAUAGAUCUUCAGCCAAAGCUUCUGUAGCAACUCUAAAUAAUGGGGUACUGAACUGGAGCCCAAAUAGUAUAGCAGUACG